rnacentral:rRNA from 1 species
GACGAACGCUGGCGGCGUGCCUAAUACAUGCAAGUCGAACGCACUCUCGUUUAGAUUGAAGGAGCUUGCUCCUGAUUGAUAAACAUUUGAGUGAGUGGCGGACGGGUGAGUAACACGUGGGUAACCUGCCCUAAAGUGGGGGAUAACAUUUGGAAACAGAUGCUAAUACCGCAUAAAACCUAACACCGCAUGGUGUAGGGUUGAAAGAUGGUUUCGGCUAUCACUUUAGGAUGGACCCGCGGUGCAUUAGUUAGUUGGUGAGGUAAAGGCUCACCAAGACCGUGAUGCAUAGCCGACCUGAGAGGGUAAUCGGCCACACUGGGACUGAGACACGGCCCAGACUCCUACGGGAGGCAGCAGUAGGGAAUCUUCCACAAUGGACGAAAGUCUGAUGGAGCAACGCCGCGUGAGUGAAGAAGGUUUCGGAUCGUAAAACUCUGUUGUUGGAGAAGAAUGUAUCUGAUAGUAACUGAUCAGGUAGUG